AUCCACCUGCCUUGGCCUCCCAAAGUGCUGGGAUUACAGGCAUGAGCCACCAUGCCCGGCCUCCAUGGAGCUAUUUAAAGCAGGUAGGCAAGUGAGCACUGCAGCCAACGCCACUGUAUCCCUUGCAGGUAUUCUGGAUGGUGAAAUGGACCCCAAAGGUAUGUGUUCCUCACUGCUGUGGGUACUGAAUGCCAAAGAAUUUCUGGGCUGGUGUUGGGGUUGUGUGCAGGUUCAGGGAGCAGGACUCCUUCCCGCCUGCUUCUGCUUCCUGUCCUGCCUUACUGGCUCUUUCUCCAACUCUCCCAUCACCAGUCUUUCUCUUUCAAGUACCUGCUAUUGAGGAGAACUUGCUAGAUGACAAGCAUUUGCUGAAGCCCUGGGAUGCUAAGAAGCUAUCCUCAUCCUCUUCCCGACCUCGGUCCUGUGAAGUCCCUGGAAUUAACAUCUUUCCAUCUCCUGACCAGCCUGCCAAUGUGCCUGUCCUCCCACCUGCCAUGAACACGGGGGGCUCCCUACCUGACCUCACCAACCUGCACUUUCCCCCACCACUGCCCACCCCCCUGGACCCUGAAG
rnacentral:sRNA from 1 species